AUGGCCGGCACUGCUCUUCCGGCUGCGACGACAAACGCACACGGCGGGGCCAGGGGGCUCCGAGCCUUGGCCCCCGCCUUGCGGCGGGUGCAGUGGCCACCCAAGUUCAAGCCAGAGAUGCCGCCGCGCUACGAUGGCGCGACGGACCCGUCGUCUUUCCUGUUGGCAUAUGAAGGGGCCGUCUUGAAGGCUGGGGGCGACGACAAGGUCAUAGCCAACUGGCUUCCCAUGGCCCUCACUGGGGCACCGCGCUCCCAGCUGCUCAACCUCCCAGGAUCUACGGUGACAUCUUGGGAGGAGCUGCGCAACCUCUUCACUGAGCGAUUCGCGGUACCGGAGCCCCGCGCUGUCGCGGCCCUCCUCGGCGGCUCACAAGUGCCGCCCUCGGACCGUCACGCCAAGCCGUUCUUUCGCCAGAUCGGUGCCGCCUCCACGCGGCAGGGCGCUCCUCCAGGUUGGGCGGCGCCCAAGGCCGACCUGACCUUCGACUCGGGAGAUCACCCCAUCACCACCGUCGGCUCGGGCGUGCUCCCAAUGCUUUGCACGCCCACCAUCUGCAGCGUGGCCGUUACCAAGACCCUCAUCGACAGCGGCGCCGGCCUCAACGUGCUCUCUGUGGAGGCUUUUAGCCUCCUUCAUGUACCGCUCGAGCGGCUCCGCCCCAGCAAGCCCUUCUCCGGGGUCGGCGGCGGCUCCUCCAGUCCCCUAGGGCAGAUCUGUCUUCCCGUGAGCUUCUGCACCCGUGACAACUACCGCACAGAGCUGAUUGACUUCGAAAUCACCCACAUCGGCCUUCCGUACAAUGCCAUCCUCGGGUACCCAGCUCUGGCUCAGUUUAUGGCGGCGACCCAUCCGGCCUACAACCUCAUGAAGAUGCCCGGGAGCAAGGGCGUCCUGACUGUAGUUGGAGAUACCAAGGAGGCUCUGGUGGCACUCAAGCUUGCCCUCAAGGCCGCCGUGAUGGCGCGCCCGGCCGACAAGGCCACCUCUGGAGCUAAGGAGGCCGAGCCAGCCAAGAAGUAG
rnacentral:rRNA from 1 species